rnacentral:rRNA from 1 species
UUUUAUGGAGAGUUUGAUCCUGGCUCAGGAUGAACGCUGGCGGCGUGCCUAAUACAUGCAAGUCGAGCGAACGGACGAGAAGCUUGCUUCUCUGAUGUUAGCGGCGGACGGGGGAGUAACACGUGGAUAACCUACCUAUAAGACUGGGAUAACUUCGGGAAACCGGAGCUAAUACCGGAUAAUAUUUUGAACCGCAUGGUUCAAAAGUGAAAGACGGUCUUGCUGUCACUUAUAGAUGGAUCCGCGCUGCAUUAGCUAGUUGGUAAGGUAACGGCUUACCAAGGCAACGAUGCAUAGCCGACCUGAGAGGGUGAUCGGCCACACUGGAACUGAGACACGGUCCAGACUCCUACGGGAGGCAGCAGUAGGGAAUCUUCCGCAAUGGGCGAAAGCCUGACGGAGCAACGCCGCGUGAGUGAUGAAGGUCUUCGGAUCGUAAAACUCUGUUAUUAGGGAAGAACAUAUGUGUAAGUAACUGUGCACAUCUUGACGGUACCUAAUCAGAAAGCCACGGCUAACUACGUGCCAGCAGCCGCGGUAAUACGUAGGUGGCAAGCGUUAUCCGGAAUUAUUGGGCGUAAAGCGCGCGUAGGCGGUUUUUUAAGUCUGAUGUGAAAGCCCACGGCUCAACCGUGGAGGGUCAUUGGAAACUGGAAAACUUGAGUGCAGAAGAGGAAAGUGGAAUUCCAUGUGUAGCGGUGAAAUGCGCAGAGAUAUGGAGGAACACCAGUGGCGAAGGCGACUUUCUGGUCUGUAACUGACGCUGAUGUGCGAAAGCGUGGGGAUCAAACAGGAUUAGAUACCCUGGUAGUCCACGCCGUAAACGAUGAGUGCUAAGUGUUAGGGGGUUUCCGCCCCUUAGUGCUGCAGCUAACGCAUUAAGCACUCCGCCUGGGGAGUACGACCGCAAGGUUGAAACUCAAAGGAAUUGACGGGGACCCGCACAAGCGGUGGAGCAUGUGGUUUAAUUCGAAGCAACGCGAAGAACCUUACCAAAUCUUGACAUCCUUUGACAACUCUAGAGAUAGAGCCUUCCCCUUCGGGGGACAAAGUGACAGGUGGUGCAUGGUUGUCGUCAGCUCGUGUCGUGAGAUGUUGGGUUAAGUCCCGCAACGAGCGCAACCCUUAAGCUUAGUUGCCAUCAUUAAGUUGGGCACUCUAAGUUGACUGCCGGUGACAAACCGGAGGAAGGUGGGGAUGACGUCAAAUCAUCAUGCCCCUUAUGAUUUGGGCUACACACGUGCUACAAUGGACAAUACAAAGGGCAGCGAAACCGCGAGGUCAAGCAAAUCCCAUAAAGUUGUUCUCAGUUCGGAUUGUAGUCUGCAACUCGACUACAUGAAGCUGGAAUCGCUAGUAAUCGUAGAUCAGCAUGCUACGGUGAAUACGUUCCCGGGUCUUGUACACACCGCCCGUCACACCACGAGAGUUUGUAACACCCGAAGCCGGUGGAGUAACCUUUUAGGAGCUAGCCGUCGAAGGUGGGACAAAUGAUUGGGGUGAAGUCGUAACAAGGUAGCCGUAUCGGAAGGUGCGGCUGGAUCACCUCCUUUCUAA